AUCUCAAGACACAAUUCAACGUUUGUUAUUUAGUUCCUUGUGGUCCUGGAACCUUCUAUAUCAAUGGCUACUGUGAACGAUGUGACAUUGGCCGCUACAGCAACAUCACGGCGGCGACAUCUUGUCAUGCAUGUCCCAAGGGCAAGUCCACACCCGGGAGGUCUUCCUUGAGUAUAGAGGAAUGUACAGUUGAUGUGCAUGUUCCUCAAGAUUUCCCAUUGGCUGUAGUUGCGGGUGUUGUGGUCUCUGUCGUAGCAGUCGUAGCAGUGGUUGUUGCUGCGUACUUCUACGGGAA